CCUACGGGAGGCUGCAGUGGGGAAUAUUGGACAAUGGGGGCAACCCUGAUCCAGCCAUGCCGCGUGUGUGAAGAAGGCCCUCGGGUUGUAAAGCACUUUCAGUGAGGAAGAACGCCUGGUGGUUAAUACCCAUCAGGAAAGACAUCACUCACAGAAGAAGCACCGGCUAACUCCGUGCCAGCAGCCGCGGUAAUACGGAGGGUGCGAGCGUUAAUCGGAAUUACUGGGCGUAAAGCGCGCGUAGGUGGCUUGAUAAGCCGGUUGUGAAAGCCCCGGGCUCAACCUGGGAACGGCAUCCGGAACUGUCAAGCUAGAGUGCAGGAGAGGAAGGUAGAAUUCCCGGUGUAGCGGUGAAAUGCGGAGAGAGCGGGAGGAAUACCAGUGGCGAAGGCGGCCUUCUGGACUGACACUGACACUGAGGUGCGAAAGCGUGGGUAGCAAACAGGAUUAGAUACCCGUGUAGUC
rnacentral:rRNA from 1 species